GUGGCGACGGGUGAGUAACACGUGGGCAAUCUGCCCUGCACUCUGGGACAAGCCCUGGAAACGGGGUCUAAUACCGGAUAAUACUGUUCCCUUCCUGGGGAAUGGUUGAAAGCUCCGGCGGUGCAGGAUGAGCCCGCGGCCUAUCAGCUUGUUGGUGGGGUAAUGGCCUACCAAGGCGACGACGGGUAGCCGGCCUGAGAGGGCGACCGGCCACACUGGGACUGAGACACGGCCCAGACUCCUACGGGAGGCAGCAGUGGGGAAUAUUGCACAAUGGGCGAAAGCCUGAUGCAGCGACGCCGCGUGAGGGAUGACGGCCUUCGGGUUGUAAACCUCUUUCAGCAGGGAAGAAGCGAAAGUGACGGUACCUGCAGAAGAAGCGCCGGCUAACUACGUGCCAGCAGCCGCGGUAAUACGUAGGGCGCAAGCGUUGUCCGGAAUUAUUGGGCGUAAAGAGCUCGUAGGCGGUUUGUCACGUCGGGUGUGAAAGCCCGGGGCUUAACCCCGGGUCUGCAUUCGAUACGGGCAGACUAGAGUGUGGUAGGGGAGAUCGGAAUUCCUGGUGUAGCGGUGAAAUGCGCAGAUAUCAGGAGGAACACCGGUGGCGAAGGCGGAUCUCUGGGCCAUUACUGACGCUGAGGAGCGAAAGCGUGGGGAGCGAACAGGAUUAGAUACCCUGGUAGUCCACGCCGUAAACGUUGGGAACUAGGUGUUGGCGACAUUCCACGUCGUCGGUGCCGCAGCUAACGCAUUAAGUUCCCCGCCUGGGGAGUACGGCCGCAAGGCUAAACUCAAGGAAUUGACGGGGGCCCGCACAGCAGCGGAGCAUGUGGCUUAAUUCGACGCAACGCGA
rnacentral:rRNA from 1 species